UGCUGACAUAAGUAACGAUAAAGCGGGUGAAAAGCCCGCUCGCCGGAAGACCAAGGGUUCCUGUCCAACGUUAAUCGGGGCAGGGUGAGUCGACCCCUAAGGCGAGGCCGAAAGGCGUAGUCGAUGGGAAACGGGUUAAUAUUCCCGUACUUGGUGUUACUGCGAAGGGGGGACGGAGAAGGCUAUGUUGGCCGGGCGACGGUUGUCCCGGUUUAAGCGUGUAGGUGUGUGUUCCAGGUAAAUCCGGUUCACUUUAACACUGAGGCGUGACGACGAGGCACUACGGUGCUGAAGCAACAAAUGCCCUGCUUCCAGGAAAAGCCUCUAAGCAUCAGGUAACAUCAAAUCGUACCCCAAACCGACACAGGUGGUCAGGUAGAGAAUACCAAGGCGCUUGAGAGAACUCGGGUGAAGGAACUAGGCAAAAUGGUGCCGUAACUUCGGGAGAAGGCACGCUGACACGUAGGUGAAGUGAUUUACUCAUGGAGCUGAAGUCAGUCGAAGAUACCAGCUGGCUGCAACUGUUUAUUAAAAACACAGCACUGUGCAAACACGAAAGUGGACGUAUACGGUGUGACGCCUGCCCGGUGCCGGAAGGUUAAUUGAUGGGGUCAGCGCAAGCGAAGCUCCUGAUCGAAGCCCCGGUAAACGGCGGCCGUAACUAUAACGGUCCUAAGGUAGCGAAAUUCCUUGUCGGGUAAGUUCCGACCUGCACGAAUGGCGUAAUGAUGGCCAGGCUGUCUCCACCCGAGACUCAGUGAAAUUGAACUCGCUGUGAAGAUGCAGUGUACCCGCGGCAAGACGGAAAGACCCCGUGAACCUUUACUAUAGCUUGACACUGAACAUUGAGCCUUGAUGUGUAGGAUAGGUGGGAGGCUUUGAAGUGUGGACGCCAGUCUGCAUGGAGCCGACCUUGAAAUACCACCCUUUAAUGUUUGAUGUUCUAACGUGGACCCGUUACCCGGGUUGCGGACAGUGUCUGGUGGGUAGUUUGACUGGGGCGGUCUCCUCCUAAAGAGUAACGGAGGAGCACGAAGGUUGGCUAAUCCUGGUCGGACAUCAGGAGGUUAGUGCAAUGGCAUAAGCCAGCUUGACUGCGAGCGUGACGGCGCGAGCAGGUGCGAAAGCAGGUCAUAGUGAUCCGGUGGUUCUGAAUGGAAGGGCCAUCGCUCAACGGAUAAAAGGUACUCCGGGGAUAACAGGCUGAUACCGCCCAAGAGUUCAUAUCGACGGCGGUGUUUGGCACCUCGAUGUCGGCUCAUCACAUCCUGGGGCUGAAGUAGGUCCCAAGGGUAUGGCUGUUCGCCAUUUAAAGUGGUACGCGAGCUGGGUUUAGAACGUCGUGAGACAGUUCGGUCCCUAUCUGCCGUGGGCGCUGGAGAACUGAGGGGGGCUGCUCCUAGUACGAGAGGACCGGAGUGGACGCAUCACUGGUGUUCGGGUUGUCAUGCCAAUGGCACUGCCCGGUAGCUAAAUGCGGAAGAGAUAAGUGCUGAAAGCAUCUAAGCACGAAACUUGCCCCGAGAUGAGUUCUCCCUGAGACUUAGAGUCUCCUGAAGGAACGUUGAAGACGACGACGUUGAUAGGCCGGGUGUGUAAGCGCAGCGAUGCGUUGAGCUAACCGGUACUAAUGAACCGUGAGGCUUAACCUU
rnacentral:rRNA from 1 species